CCCACUGAGUUUAAGCAUAUCAAUAAGAGGAGGAAAAGAAACUAACAAGGAUUCCCUUAGUAACAGCGAGCGAACCAAGAAGAGCCCAGCUUGAUAAUCGGACGUCUUCGGCGUUCGAAUGGUAGUCUGGAGAAGCGUACUCAGCGACUGUAACGCCCGAAUACGGCCUCUCAACGAAACUGGACCCAUUUGCUACUUAAUCAAUUUCUUUGCUUGUUUGAUUCAUUUUAAGUCUUUCCUUUACUAAGUCAUGUUCGAAUCUGAGGUUCUAAAUCAAUUGAACAGAUAGCACAUCGGAAUAUAAAU
rnacentral:ncRNA from 1 species